AUUGAACGCUGGCGGCAGGCUUAACACAUGCAAGUCGAGCGGGGGAAGGUAGCUUGCUACCGGACCUAGCGGCGGACGGGUGAGUAAUGCUUAGGAAUCUGCCUAUUAGUGGGGGACAACAUCUCGAAAGGGAUGCUAAUACCGCAUACGUCCUACGGGAGAAAGCAGGGGAUCUUAGGACCUUGCGCUAAUAGAUGAGCCUAAGUCGGAUUAGCUAGUUGGUGGGGUAAAGGCCCACCAAGGCGACGAUCUGUAGCGGGUCUGAGAGGAUGAUCCGCCACACUGGGACUGAGACACGGCCCAGACUCCUACGGGAGGCAGCAGUGGGGAAUAUUGGACAAUGGGGGGAACCCUGAUCCAGCCAUGCCGCGUGUGUGAAGAAGGCCUUUUGGUUGUAAAGCGCUUUAAGCGAGGAGGAGGCUACCGAGAUUAAUACUCUUGGAUAGUGGACGUUACUCGCAGAAUAAGCACCGGCUAACUUCGUGCCAGCCGCCGCCGUAA
rnacentral:rRNA from 1 species